rnacentral:rRNA from 1 species
GUGGGGAAUAUUGGACAAUGGGCGAAAGCCUGAUCCAGCCAUGCCGCGUGUGUGAAGAAGGUCUUCGGAUUGUAAAGCACUUUAAGUUGGGAGGAAGGGUAGUAACCUAAUACGUUGCUACUUUGACGUUACCGACAGAAUAAGCACCGGCUAACUUCGUGCCAGCAGCCGCGGUAAUACGAAGGGUGCAAGCGUUAAUCGGAAUUACUGGGCGUAACGCGCGCGUAGGUGGUUCAGUAAGUUGGAAGUGAAAUCCCCGGGCUCAACCUGGGAACUGCUUUCAAAACUGCUGAGCCAGAGUACGGUAGAGGGUGGUGGAAUUUCCUGUGUAGCGGUGAAAUGCGUAGAUAUAGGAAGGAACACCAGUGGCGAAGGCGACCACCUGGACUGAUACUGACACUGAGGUGCGAAAGCGUGGGGAGCAAACAGGAUUAGAUACCCCAGUAGUCC